rnacentral:lncRNA from 1 species
CGGUGUGUCCCUGCUGCCCAUAGGUGCCGCCGGUGGCGGUGGCGCCAUGCUCCCCGGUGCCGGUCAUUCCGGUGUGUCCGUGCUGCCCAUAGGUGCCACCGGUCUGCUGCUGAUCACCGUGGCCACCGGGGAGCUUCUCCUUGAUCUUGUCCUUGAGGCCCUUCUUCCUCCUCCCGCCCAUGCCGUCAUCCUCAGACUAUCACGACCAACGAGAAAAUUCAGUCGUUGAUGCUUUCUCAUUCAAAGUCUAAGCGGGAAAAUGCAACUAUGCAAGUGCUGGCAAGAAGUAAGUAUUAUAAAUAUACGCACCGAGCUGGAGCUUGAGCUGCCGGAGCGCUGCAGGAUCCCUCCGGCCUUGUGCUCCUCCCUCGUGGGCUGGAAAUGCCCACCUGCAGCCGCGCCGGUGCCCAUGCCGGUGCCGACGCCAUGUCCGGCCACCGGGUUACCGUACUCGUCGACGCGGUUGGUCGCGUGGCCGUGCUCCAUCUUGCACAGCACAGGUGGUGUUGAUCUUGGUUGCCUCAGAAAUCUGGUGUGUUGUCUUCCUCAGUUACUCUGCAGCUCGUGGUUGUGGAAGCAGGUGCAGCACGAGGCGCAGUUUAUAAUCCGUCUGCGCCGAGGGGAUAGGAUCGUCGGAGGCGCUACGUGUGCGGGCAUGAGUGGGCUGGCCGGCGGGAGCCGGUGACUGGCGACUCGCCCAUAAAGAGAGGCCGGACGUGUGCAGCUACUGGACGCGUCCGGGUUGCCACGUCUCAGCUUGUUCUCGAGGUAGAGGUGAUGACACACGGGGAAUACAGUCCUAGAAAAACCGUUCUCUCCGCUUGCAGAAGUUUGUCUUGUUUGCUCUUCGGAAAAUGAAAGCCGGAAGCGUCGGCAUGGAUCGAAAACUAAACAAAAUACACCAAACGUAUUCCAAUAUACUUAUUAUAAGAUGUACUAAUACGCCACUUUUUCCUAAGUUAUAUGUAAUUUACAAUUGAUAGACAAAGGCUUGAAUACAACCAGAUAAGAACGCUCUCUUAUCGAUUCAUAAUAACAUGUUGGAAAACUUCUCUAAUCGACACUUCAGCCGAACCCUAAAAAGAUUAAUAGAGUAAAAAAAAAAAUACUCCAAACAAUACAUGACUCUUAAAUAUGCUCGACUGCGAGGCCGCAGAGUAAAAAUCUAGCUCGCCUCUAUGCCUCUCCUCCCUCCGAUCAUUGUCGUCCGAUCUUCGCCAAUGAGUACCCAACCUUAUCCGCACCCACUCCGAUGCCGGAUCUCACCAAUCCGCCCACAUCGCGGGCACAUCUUUUCGUCGCCGUGCCCAUCCGGAACACGUCUGUGCUGCCACGAGUGGUCCCAAGCCCGUGGUCACAGAGGUGCUUCUUCCUUCCUCCUCUCUAGCAUCACUUCCUCCCGCACCCGCCCGCGUGGCUUCUCCAACCUCCUACCGCCCCCGUCACCGCCACAGAGGCAACACAUCGGCGUGCGACAUCAGAGUUAAAGGAACAUGGAUGGUCAAGAUAACAUGUCAGCACACGAGGCGACGCUUGAGUAUAUAUUCAUUUACAUACUCCAAUUUUGUUUGGGGAUCCAUCCGUAACCAUGGACAUCACAUAGUAUCCGUGCCCCACCCAUGAAUAAUGAGGCUCCUUUUUUGCGAUGGUGUUGAAUAAAUAAGUUACUCACGAUUUUUAUUUAUGAAUGAAAAGUCAUACCAAUACUCAAUACAUGGGAGUUGGUAUCCAUGAAUCCAAUUCCAUGAAUAAAAUUGCCAUGAAACGUAUUUGAGACGAGACUAAUUAAAGGCAUCUCUAACGUGGACCCGCAAAUCUUUCAAAUGCAUUUGAACCGUGUUCUUCGGACUGUGAAAAGCACGCGUCCUGUAUUGAUCCGCGACACGGUCAAGACGUAGUUUCUCUAGCAAACCAGAGACAAACAUGAGGAAGGCUUUACGGGAGUCUAGAUCGCUCCCAAGCCGUCUUUUGACUGCCUUGCCCACCCAAAAACCCUCCUCCACCCCAUCCAUGAAUAAUUGGGCUCCUUUCUUGUGACGGCGUUGAAUAAAUGAGUUACUCAUGAUUUUUAUAUAUGGAUGAAAAAUGGUGCCAAUACUCAGUCCAUGAGAGUUGGUAUCCAUGAAUCCAAACCCAUGGGUAAAUUGCCGUAAAACGUAUUUGAGACAAGAGUAAAAUAGACAUCUACUCCCUCCGUGCUUAAAUAUAAGACCUUUUAGACAUCACAUAAUUUACUACAUACGGAUAUAUAUAGACAUAUUUUAAAUAUAGAUUCAUUCAUUUUAUUUUGUAUGUAGUCUAUAAAAAAAAUAAAGGUAUUAUAUUUAGGAACAGAGGGAGUAUGUCAUUUGCUCUAUCCAUAUUGUGUUUAAAGGUCACAAGUUGACGCACCCUUUUUUGUGGUGGGCCUUUGACUCGUAUCAGGUAGGGCCUUUUUUCCGUAGCGCAAUGUGUCAAAAAAAUUGGUAUAUUGCGAUGGACCUUUACUUUACCUUAAUUAUUUCGGACGCCCCUACGGACACAUUCUACAGGAUUUUACGGGUUGGGUACUGUAAGCUCUUCUAAUUGGCCUCCCUGAAUUUCAGCGGUGGGCCCAUGUGCCUUAAUCAAUUCCCGGCCAAUCAGUGAUAAGCAAUCUGUAAAUCUUUCAUAAAAACUCCGUACAUGUAGCAUUACUGUCUCCCUUAAGCGAGCACAGGGAAAGCCUUGCGUCGGGGGAAGCCCAUAUGGGUCGCCUAGUCGCACGGAAAGCCACUUUUUUUUUGCUUUUUUUCUAUUUUAUGUUCUCGUUCUUUGCUUUUUUGGCACAUUUAUUUAUACUUUAAAAUAUUAUACACACACACACACACACAUCUUGAGUAAGUAUUAAAAAAUGUUGAACAAGUAUUUGAAACAUCUUGAGUAAGUAUUAAAAAAUGUUGAACAAGUAUUUGAAACAUCUUGAGUAAGUAUUAAAAAAUGUUGAAUGGGUGUAUGAAAAAUGGUAAACAACUAUUUGAAAAUGUUGAAUAAGUAUUAAGUAUGUUGGGCAAGUAUUUAAAAAUAUUUCAUGAGUAUAAAAAAUGUUGAAGGAGUAUUUAAAAAACGUUAAACAAGUAUUUAAAAAUGUUGAGUAAAUAUUAAAAUGUUGAACAAGUAUCUGAAAAAAUGUUGAAUAAGCAUUCGUACAAUAUUGAACGUGUAUACAAAAAAUGUUGAUCAGUUAUUAAAAAAUGUUUUCGACAUAUAAGAAAAAGUAGAAUAAAAAAACAUAAGAAAUAGUAAAAAUGGAUACGAAUAAAGAAAACCAAACAAAAAUGAGAAGAAGAAAGAAAACCAAACAAAAAAUAGAAUAAUGCAAAAAACAUAAUAACCUAGAAUGCAAAAAAGAAUGAAAAAAGGGAAAAGAAAACAAAAAAAGAAACAAAAAAGGAAAAAAAAUCCCCCAAUAAGGGCUGGAGUAGCCUCAAGUACUACGCGCCCUAAUUCUUAGCAUGAAAGCAACUUGGGUGGAGUGGAUCGCUUAAGACGAUAAAUAGUCACCGCGCAUUGUUUGUGUUUCCUCAAUAUUAUUGGUUGCAGGGUUGCCUUGGUUUGUGUCUCUUCGACAUGAUUUUUAUGGUCAGAAAAUACCGGUUUUAGAUUCAAACUUUUUACAGAGCAUUCCCUCUACUUUGAUGCUAUAUCACAUGCCCGUGUUCACAUUUGCAACAUAUAGAACAUAGCUACCAUAAACAUCACAUACAUUCAUAGAAGCAAUCUUGACCUGCUCAUAAACCAUAAGCAUAUGACGAGGCACACAUAUGCACUUAGGGGCUGUUUGGUUUCUACCCUGAUAAAUAACCGUGCGUGCAUAUCAAAACUAGCACGUCAUUUCACUCUAUCAUACGGUAACUUUUAAUCCAUGCACGAAGUAGUGAAAGUCUCUGUACCAAUGUCUCUACCCAAACAAGCGAUGACCUUUGGUGUCGUCUUCUUGGACUGAUUCUUCCUCCUCAUGGACGUGGUUAUGGUAGUCAGGGACAAAGCUCCAGGGGCUGUCGUCCAGGAUGCUACCAAACCGACUCCGUAGUGUUGGAAAUAUGCCCUACAGGCAAUAAUAAAUUGAUUAUUAUUAUAUUUCCUUGUUCAUGAUAAUCGUUUAUUAUCCAUGCUAGAAUUGUAUUGAUUGGAAACUCAAAUACAUGUGUGGAUACAUAGACAACACAUUGUCCCUAGUGAGCCUCUAGUUGACUAGCUCGUUGAUCAAAGAUGGUCAAGGAUUCCUGGCUAUAGGCAAGUGUUGUCAUUGGAUAACGGGAUCACAUCAUUAGGAUAAUGAUGUGAUGGACAAGACCCAAACUAUAAACGAAGCAUAUGAUCGUUUCAGUUUAUUGCUACUGUUUUUCUGCAUGUCAAUGUAUCUGUUCUUAUGACCAUGAGAUCAUGUAACUCCCGGACACCGGAGGAAUACCUUGUGUGUAUCAAACGUCGCAACGUUACUGGGUGACUAUAAAGGUACUCUACAGGUAUCUCCAAAGGUGUCUAUUGGGUUGGCAUGGAUCAAGAUUGAGAUUUGUCACUCCGUGUGACGAAGAGGUAUCUCGGGGCCCACUCGGUAAUACAACAUCACAACAAGCCUUGCAAGCAAUGUGAAUAAGGAGUUAGUUACGGGAUCUUGUAUUACGGAACGAGUAAAGAGACUUGCUGGUAACGAGAUUGAACUAGGUAUGCAGAUACCCACGAUCGAAUCUCAGGCAAGUAACAUACCGAAGGACAAAUGGAACAUCAUACGGGAUUAACUGAAUCCUUGACAUAGAGGUUCAACCGAUAGAUCUUCGUAGAAUAUGUGAGAGCCAAUAUGGACAUCCAGGUCCCGUUAUUGGUUAUUUACCGGAGAGUGUCUCAGGUCAUGUCUGCAUAGUUCUCGAACCCGCAGGGUCUGCACACUUAAGGUUCGGUGACGUUUUGGCAUAGUUGAGUUAUAUGUGUUGGUGACCGAAGGUUGUUCGGAGUCCCAAAUGAGAUCCAGGACGUCACGAGAAGCUCCAGAAUGGUCCGAAGGUAAAUAUUGAUAUACAUGAAGUCCUGUUUUGGUCACCGGAAAAGUUUCGGGCUCAUCGGUAGUGUACCGGGAGUGCCAGCAGGGGUGCCGGGGACCAUGUGGAGGGGUGUCACGCCCCAAGGGGCCUCAUGGGCUGUGGGAAGAGAUAAACCAGCCCCUAGUGAGUUGGAAUAAGUUCCCACUGAGGCCCAUAAGGUUUGAGAAGGAAAAACACAAGGUGGAAAGAGUUUCCAAGUGGGAAGGAGGAAUCCUACUACUACUAGGAUUGGGGGAGGACUCCUGCUCUCCUCCUUGCGCAAGGGAAGAAAGGGCAGCCCUAUGGCGCAACCCUCUCCUCCUCUCCUCCUAUAUAUACUAAGAGUUUUGAGGGUUUAGAGACAAUACAAAACAGCCACGUGUUGCCCCCUCUCUCUAGAUCUGUUUCUCCUCUAGUUUCAGCGGUGCUUAGGCGAAGCCCUGUUGGAAUAGCACCACCACCACCACCACCACGCCGCCGUGCUGGAGAACUCAUCUACCUCUCCGCCUCCUCUUGCUGGAUCAAGAAGGUGGAGAUUGUCAUCCAGCUGUACGUGUGCUGAACGCGGAGGUGCCGUCCGUUCGGCACUAGAUCGGGAAGGAUCGUGAUGGGAUCGCGGGACGGAUCAUGAUGAGAUCGCAGGACGGGAUGCGAUUUGGAUCGCGAAGAUGUUCCAGUACAUCAACCGCGCUAUAUACGCUUCCGCUUAGCGAUCUACAAGGGUAUGUAGAUUCACUCUCCCCUCUCGUAGAUGAUCAUCACCAUGGAUAGGUAUUGCGUCUGCGUAGGAAUUUUUUUGUUUCCCAUGCUACGUUCCCCAACACGCAGGAACGUGACGGCCUCGUGCGUCGCCGCCUACUUCGCUUUCUUUGCUGACCGCUGGUGCAGCGUGAAACUCCACUCGUGCCCUUCCUGUUCCAUUAUUCUUGAUGUCUUGGGCACCCCGAUCUCAACAGUCACGGCGACCUUCGCCAUUGUCCUUUUGGCGCAUCUUACAUUCUUAAGAAGUUGAUCCUAAUUCUCUCAACAUGCAAGGUGUCCACCUCAUUAUCUCAUUAAGCAAUGCAUUUAAAAUCUUUUCUUUCAUUAAGCCAUGCAAAGUGCUCCACAUAAGCGUUUUCAACAUGCAAAGUGUUCACCUCAACAUCCCACUAAGCAAUGCAUUUAAGUAUUUUCUUUCACUAAAUCAUGUAAAAUCUUCCACAUAAGCAAGUCAUAAAUUUAACUUAUAAAUUGCAACUAUUUUUUGCGCUAGUCUCUGCAUGUAACGAUGCCGUAUCAUAUAUUCAUGUUAGUCAUCCUUCACAUUUUAGUUUGAAAUGAUAUUUUUAACCGUAAUACAAAAGUUAUUUAGAAACUUUAUUUUAUUGAUUUUCAUGUUUAUAAUUUCUUUUGUUAGAUUUAACAACUACUUACGCAUGUUCUUAACAAAGUUAUCACAACAACGCGCGGGGAGAGAGUCAACCUCACUUGUCAUGUUCAAAAUUUUCUCCAUGAAAAAGACAUCCGUGUGGACAAUUCUAAAAAUAAAAUAUUUAAAUCACAUUAUGCUACAUAUGUUCCAAUUUUUUUACAAAUAUAAACUAAUCAAGUGUAAUAAAGCUUUAUGCUCAUGUUGUUAAUUGUAAUAUUCACACUACACAUAAACAAGUAUCAUUUAAAAAUAUUGCCAACAAUUCCUACGACAACGCUCGGGAAAUUGUCAGUUCUAUAUGAGGGUGGGUCCCAUGCAAGGUAAGGCUUCAAAGGAAUCUUGUCGAGCAACUAAAUUUGGAACCAUCAAAUAGAUAGGAGUAUGUUUGGGAACGGUACUUAUCGUUUUGUAUUAUAAACGUGAUUUUUUUGUAGAGAAUACGUGCACCAGUGAAGAGUCCAUGGUAAUAUAUGCUCUCAAAAAAGAAAAAGAGUUCAAGGACCCAUCUUCCUCCCUCCAAGCCCGUCGCUCUCAUUUUUCUUUCCCCCCGAUGGCUCGAACCAUGGCCGCCGUCAGGAGAGAGCAAUCUUACAACACUGUCUUUCAAUGGCUCCUUUUUACCGGCGACCUCGAUCAUCAGUCGUAAGGGGAUCGUUAGAUCCAUGUGUGUGGAUUGCUUUACUUCUUGUAGUCUUGAUUGUUUGGUUGAUUAUCAUUUUGGCAUCGACGGGGAUGAUGAUAACGUCAAAAAAAAGAUACUUCAGGUCCUUACUUGAUGAGUCCAUCAGUUCAAUAAUUUAGGAUGGAUUUGAAAACUAGUUUGUUUAUGUAAGGACCGGAUGGCGACGAUGAUAUCCUCGUGAUGAACUUGUGUUCUCGUGCUUGUGUUCUCAUGCUCCGACGUUAAGACGUCGUUUGCUUCAGCGUCGGUGCAGUGCUUAAAAGAUAGUUCAGAAGUGGAUGUAAAUUAUGGACUACGGCGUUUGCUUCACCGUUGGUGCGGAGCUUGAAAAAUAGUUGAGAAGUGGAUGUAAAUUAUGGACUACAUCAACUACAUAUGAAGAAAGAAACGUAUGCUGGUUCAUAGUUGACGGGUAUGGUUCGUCUAUGCUGGUUCAUGGUUGACGGGUAUGGUUCGUCUUAGUCGUGAUGGGAUGUGGUUGGCGGGUAUGGUUCGUCUUAGUCGGGAUCCAGGAUGCUGCCUCGGUCUGAUUUGUGCUUCACCUUGGAGGUUUGAAAGCUCGUUAUUUUUUGGUGUUGCCUCGGUUGGUUCGUGCUUCAUUUUGGAGGUCCGAACUGGAAUGAGGAGGUGCUUCAUUUUGGAGGUCCGAACUGAUGACGUACGUUGAUGUUAAGCUUAGUUUUAUCAUGUGUGAGUCCUUAUGUGACUUCUACUUCAGUAAAAAUCUUAAGACUCGAUUUGGUUGGGGACUUGAAGUCGAACAUUCUUCUCUCAACCUUUUUGUUUGACAUUUCCAAAAAAAGAACUUUUUAUUUGACGUCUAUACAAUUCAUAUCCGGUUGUUGUUUCAGGCCUUUGGGUCAUUUUCUUCAUUUCAAAAAAUAGACUUCCGCUCCGCAAACAAAUUUACAGGCCUCGUGGCUUAACCGAGCUGAUCUUACAUUCGUAAUGCUCUUUGAUAGAAUAACUUUAUAUGCGAGGACCAUACCGUAAGCAUACAUAGAUACCAUGGUUGAACCAAAAAGGAAAUUUACAAGAUUAUAUAGUGUAAACAGACGAAAACACUCUUAACACAGUGUUGUUCACGUAAACUUGAACUAGAUACAUUCGCCCCUCCAACAGCCAAGUGAGCUAGGUGAACUAUGCUCACGUUGUAUGGUGGAAUUUUAUUGUAUCGCCAUCUUAUUAUUGAUUCUGCAACGGUGGUCGACCGGCACCUCCACACUCAGAAGUGGCGGCCGCGGGGGCUGGGCUCGGAGCGCUCAGUGCUGGCCAGGGAGCUUCUCCUUGAUCUUGUCCAUGAUGCCCUUCUUCUCGCCGGUGUCGGUGCCGUGCUGCCCGUAGGUGCCACCGGUGCCGUGCAUGCCCGUGCCUGUCAUCCCGGUGUGGCCCUGCUGCCCGUAGGUGCCGCCGGUGGCCGCGGUGCCAUGUGCCCCGGUGCCGGCCAUCCCAGUGUGGCCUUGCUGUCCGUAGGUGCCGUCAGUGGCUCCCAUCCCGGUCAUCCCAGUGUGACCCUGCUGCCCGUAGGUUCCGCCGGUGCCGGCCAUGCCAGUACCCUGCUGUCCGUAGCCGUAGGUGCCAGCGUUGUGCUGCUGGUCACCGUGGCCACCAGGGAGCUUCUCCUUGAUCUUCUCCUUGAUGCCCUUCUUCCUCC